rnacentral:rRNA from 1 species
AACGAACGCUGGCGGCAUGCCUAACACAUGCAAGUCGAACGAAGCCUUCGGGCUUAGUGGCGCACGGGUGCGUAACGCGUGGGAAUCUGCCCUUGGGUUCGGAAUAACAGUUAGAAAUGACUGCUAAUACCGGAUGAUGUCUUCGGACCAAAGAUUUAUCGCCCAAGGAUGAGCCCGCGUAGGAUUAGGUAGUUGGUGGGGUAAUGGCCCACCAAGCCGACGAUCCUUAGCUGGUCUGAGAGGAUGAUCAGCCACACUGGGACUGAGACACGGCCCAGACUCCUACGGGAGUCAGCAGUGGGGAAUAUUGGACAAUGGGCGAAAGCCUGAUCCAGCAAUGCCGCGUGAGUGAUGAAGGCCUUAGGGUUGUAAAGCUCUUUUACCAGGGAUGAUAAUGACAGUACCUGGAGAAUAAGCUCCGGCUAACGCCGUGCCAGCCGCCGCAGUAA